UCUGAGGAAGGACACGCAUUCUCACUCAGACAGCGCAGAGUUCCGUGUUCAACAAACGCAUUUUCUGCUGCGCAACACAUUCAGAGGUUCGCAUCGAGACGCUCUUUCUCGCCACAAUGUCGAUGACCGUGAAAGCUUACCUUAUCGGUAAGGACGACUGCAACAAGGAGAUCCGCCGCUUCGCCGUGGAUCAGGACGUCUCAACAAGUUAUGAGUAUCUGAAGAGAAAAGUGCUCGAUGUUUUCGUCGGGCUUAGGACUGCGCCCUUUCAAAUGUACUAUAAAGAUGAAGAUGGUGACCUGAUUGCCUUCUCCUCUGACGAUGAGCUCAUGAUGGGGCUGGCUCUUGUGAAGGAUGGCACUUUCCGUGUUAACAUCAAGCAAAGAAAGGAGCACAAACGUGAUCCCUCACCUCAUGGGGUCCCUGGGUUCUCAUUCCCCCCGCCUCAUGGAGCCCCUCACUUCAGCCCCCCAGGACCUAAUCCUAUGGGUCCACCUCCAAUGGGUCCCCCAGGAGCACCUCACAUGGGACCUCCUCCCCAUUUCCCUCAAAUGCCACACCCAGGGGUGACCUGUGAUGGGUGCGAUGGGCCGGUGGUUGGAACACGUUUCAAGUGCACCGUUUGCCCCGAUUAUGACUUGUGCUCCUCCUGCCAGGGCAAAGGCCUCCACAAGGAGCAUCCUCUCCUGCCCCUCUUUCACCCCAUGGCCAACAUGUUUGAGUGGUUCCCUCGUGGGAAGUUUUGGCGUAAGAUGAGACACUGCAUGUGGGCAAAUACCCAGGCUCAGGCUCAAGCUCAGGCCCAUGCUCAGAACCAGGCUCAGCCAGGCCCAUCAGGAGUCCAGCAGAACCAGGAUGCUUCUGAAAACAUGAGAGAGAACGGUGCUACUGACUCCUCCCAGGCCAAUAUGGAGUACCUAAAGAACAUUGGAGAGGGAGUGGCGGCCAUGUUGAGCCCCCUUGGCAUAGAUGUGGACAUCGACGUUGAGCAUGAGGGGAAGCGGACCAAAGUUACACCAACUCCUCCUGCCUCCAGUGGGCCACCUAGUGCUCGGAGUGAGAGUGGCUCUAUAGGGCUUCUCUCCAGAGGGUCUGGUCCUGGAAGUCAGGCCAAUGAAGAGAGCAUCAGUGAAGGAACAAAAAAAGACCAAGGCAGUGAUGAGGAAUGGACUCAUCUCAGCUCUAAAGAGGUAGACCCCUCCACAGGAGAGCUGCAGUCCCUCAGGUUGGAACAGGACGGGACAGAUCAUCCAGCACCACUGAGUACUGACUCCAGCACAAGCGCCUCUGAGGGUCCCACUGGUCUGCGCGAGGCAGCUCUCUACCCACACCUUCCUCAAGAUGCAGACCCCAGGCUGGUGGAGUCUCUUUCUCAGAUGCUCUCCAUGGGCUUCACUGAUGAGGGUGGAUGGUUGACCAGACUGCUCCACACCAAGAAUUUCGACAUCGGAUCUGCCCUGGAUACCAUCCAGUACUCCAAACCCGGCUCACAGAAGUAGAGAAGGAGCACGGGAAUGAAGAAGACCUGGGCCACAACUAUUGAUGUUUGAAGAUUUUGGCCUAUUUUCUAUUAACAAAGUCUUUCCAUAUUUUUUCCAAUGACAAAUUAUUUAGGUAAAUGCUAUCAACAAUAUCAAUUACUCAGGUGACUUGGCACUUAGUUAAGAUCAUUAAUGGACUUUUAUGCAAAAUAGAUAUAUUCAGCAUUUCUGUUAUUAGCACUACAUCUCAUAUAUAUGCAUAUUACAUAUAAAAGUAGAAGUCUACAUCUGUGUGCUUUUUCUAUUUGCAUUUACAUAACCAAUAAGAAGAGUUUGUAGACAAAGUAUAAACCUGGGGGUAUUUUUAUUGUUAGUUUGAAUAAAUCGAUGGAAUAAGGUUAAUGUCACUGUAGGUCUUCUAAAAUUCCUGUCCUUUCUGUCUACAAUAAAAUGCAAUAAAUAAAUAAA